UGUGGGAUGACUCCUGUGAUGCUCUGCCACUGAGACUUAGGAUGGAAUGGACAGUUGUCUGACA
rnacentral:snoRNA from 1 species